AGCUGGUAUAUUAGGGACAGGCACCUCCUGCGUAGAAAUCAGUAUCUCUAACACUGGGGCUAUGCUGCUGUUUUUUUAAACUAGCAGCCCCUUCUAUCCUAGGCUUCUGUGACCCAGGGCAGUCUCUAAACAAACAGUAACUGGCAACUGUGAGGUCAUUAGUGCUAACUCAAGCAACCUGUGCUGUUUGUAACUCCCUGACCUUGGGCCCAGGCAGGGCUUAGGAAGCUGUAUUUUACCAGUGCAGCAGGAGUCUGACUGGGACAAGGGGAAGGUGAAAGGAUUAUGAGCAGAGCUUGAAUAAUGGGAAAAAGUGUUUGCGUGUGGGGGGGAGACUGAAUGUCAAGUGUCUUGCUUUAAUUUAAACAGUAACCAGAAGUAAGAGGUCCAGGAGACAGAAGUGAGGUAGCCCUUAAAAGUAAUAAGGGGGCCUGGCCUUUGUAAGCACCCUCUCCCCACUGUAAUUUACACAGUGGUUAUGAAUUUAGUGAUUGUUAACAGUAAUUCUUAGGCUGUGCUCAUUGGCUUCAUCUUACCACUGGGAGCUUGGGAGAAAAGGGAUGCUAACCCGAAGGAAAAUAUAAGCAACUGAAUGCUACCCUGCUUAGCAGAAAAGAAAGGUAGCAGCAGCUGGACACAGUGACCAGACAAUGUUUAAUGGGAGCCUCUGAGCAGGACCCCAGUGGGAAGGGAGAGUCCCGGACAAGUGGAUUGCAGUUUCAUGCAGGAAUAAAUGCGAUGCCCCCUGAAAACUCAUAUGAAUGAACGUCUCAUAAAUUUUGCACUCGAGAAAAUCUGCUGUAUCCUGUGGUCAUAAAAAAGAAAUUAAAUCUGCAUAUAACAUUCAGGAACCUGUAAUUCUGCUGCACAGCUUUAUGCCUACAUAAAUCAGUGCCUGUCAUGAAUAUUGCACAGUAUCUGCAGCUGCCUGACCCACAUGAUUUUAAAAAGAUAAAUAAAAUGAAAACAAAGCAAUAUUCACAGAAAGUCUUCACAAACAGCACCUGCUUUUUGAAAGCUUGAAAGGCCACAAAUAGCAAACUAGGAAAGGCACAGAACAUAAAGGUCUGUUAAAGCCUAAAGGUUGUGCAUAUGUUUAUUUUCCUCUUGCAACAGUGGGAGAGUGCUAGGAGUUCUAAUACACGGAAUAUCCUCCGUGGGUAUUGUAAUGGGGAAGAAGGCAUGAUGACCAUCAAGCCUUGCAGAGGGCAAGGAUCUAUGGGAAAAGCUAUGCUAUAGAUUUUGGGGAGAGGGCAUUACCUGUAGAUAGAGCUAGUCAGGAAUUCAUCGUUGGAACGUUUUUUUCAGAAUCUGCUGAUUCAUUGAAACCAAAAUUGUUUGUGGGAAAGCAUAUGUUUUGACAAAUCUCUCACUUCCAAAGGUUUUGAGAAAAAGUUUCAAAAUUGUCUAAAUGUCCCAUUUUGAUACUUUGAAAUUUUCAUUUUCUGCUUCAAAAUGACUGUUCCAAGAUGUUAGUUACUUUUUUUAACACUAUAAAUUUAAAAUCAAAAUUAAGUGCCUUGAUUGACAUGA